rnacentral:rRNA from 1 species
GACGAACGCUGGCGGCGUGCUUAACACAUGCAAGUCGAACGGAGAGGCGAACGGGUGAGUAACACGUGGGUGAACUGCCCUGCACUUCGGGAUAAGCCUGGGAAACAGGGUCUAAAACCGGAUAGUGGGGGAUGGGCGCGCGGCCGAUCAGCAUGUUGGUGGGGUAAUGGCCUACCAAUGCGGCGACGGGUAGCCGGCCUGAGAGGGUGGACGGCCACAUUGGGACUGGGGUACGGCCCAGAGUCCUACGGGAGGCAGCAGUGGGGAUUAUUGCGCAAUGGGCGGACGCCUGAUGCAGCGGCUCCGCGUGUGGGAUGAUGGCCUUCGGGUUGUCAACUCCUUUCACCAUCGACGCGGUAGAUGGAGAAGAAGCACCGGCUAACUACGUGCCAGCAGCCGCGGUAAUAC